rnacentral:rRNA from 1 species
GAUUUCUGGGCAUCAGUUUCUGGCCGGCCACGGUUUCGUGUGUUAGUGCUUGAAGCUUUGCUCAUCCUUCCAAUCGCUAUGUACUGCUCUUCAUUGAGUGGUGCGUAGUAUUGGAUCUUUUACUUUGAAAAAAUUAGAGUGUUUCAAGCAGGCUUUAUGCUAUGAAUACAUUAGCAUGGAAUAAUAAUUUAGGACUUCGGUUCUAUUUUGUUGGUUUCUAGGACUGAAGUAAUGAUUGAUAGGGAUAGUUGGGGGUGCUAGUAUUCAGCGGCCAGAGGUGAAAUUCUCGGAUUCGCUGAAGACUAACUUAUGCGAAAGCAUU